CAAAGCCGCGAGGCAGAGCAAACCCCUAAAAAGCCAUCCCAGUUCGGAUUGCAGGCUGCAACCCGCCUGUAUGAAGUUGGAAUCGCUAGUAAUCGCGGAUCAGCAUGCCGCGGUGAAUACGUUCCCGGGCCUUGUACACACCGCCCGUCACACCAUGGGAGCUUGUAACGCCCAAAGUCGGUGGCCUAACCUUUAUGGAGGGAGCCGCCUAAGGCGGGACAGAUGACUGGGGUGAAGUCGUAACAAGGUAGC
rnacentral:rRNA from 1 species